UAGCCAUUGGCUUUGUAAUUGCAGUGAUCUCUAGUUUCUGAGAUGUAAUUGUGGUACCAUUUUGAGUCUGAGUGGAGAAGAUACAUAUUAUAUGAGGACUAAUUUGAUGUUUAGCUUGAAUAGUGGUAUUUUGAGUACUUGCAGUAGCCCUCUUACUGAAGUUGUGACUAAAGUAGAUAUGAAUUCAUUGUCGCUCACUGAAAACUUCUUUUGUGGUUUGAAUAUCUUUUCAGUACAUCAAAGUUCAUAUAUGUUUAUAUUUUGAUUUUUGUUUGUUAGCUUAUGAUUUUUGUGUGGAAUAGUUUGAAAGGUUUUGAACCUAAUUAUUUGUUAAAAUUUCAGGCCAAAUUGAAUUAAAG
rnacentral:misc_RNA from 1 species